rnacentral:snRNA from 1 species
GGAUGUGAGGGCGAUCUGGCUGCGACAUCUGUCACCCCACUGAUUGCCAGGGUUGAUUUUGAGCAGUUGAAUCAACAGUAGGAAACAAUUAGAAAAUGAUUCAAGAAUUAAAAAAACCCACUUCUGCAAUCCU